AAGACAUGCUCAUGUCUCUGGCUCACCAGAAGUACAAAGCUGGAAACUAUAAGCAAUCAUUAGAGCAUAGUAAUGCUAUUUAUGAAAGAAAUCCUCGGCGCACAGAUAAUCUCCUUCUCUUGGGUGCAAUCCAUUAUUAGCUACAUGAUUUUGAUACGUGCAUUGCAAAAAAUGAAGAAGCUAUUCAAAUUGAUCCUCGCUUUGCUGAGUGUUAUGGAAACAUGGCAAAUACUUGGAAGGUAAUCUUUAGUAUCUUUUAUGGUUCCACUGUCAAGUAUUUAGCCUGCAAGCAUCUAAUAGACAGUUAUUAUGUUUCUGCUGCAAGAGAAGGGCAACAUUGAUGUUGCAAUCCGCUACUAUUUAAUUGCUAUCGAGCUCCGACCAAAUUUUGCUGAUGCAUGGUCAAAUUUAGCAAGUGCAUAUAUGCGUAAAUGGCAGUUUAAGGAGGCAUCUCAAUGUUGUCGCCAGGCUCUUGCACUGAAUCCACGUUUGGUUGAUGCACAUAGUAAUCUUGGGAAUUUGAUGAAAGCUCAAGGAUUAGUUCAAGAGG